CGGAGCUUGCUCCACCGGAAAAAGARGAGUGGCGAACGGGUGAGUAACACGUGGGUAACCUGCCCAUCAGAAGGGGAUAACACUUGGAAACAGGUGCUAAUACCGUAUAACAAUCGAAACCGCAUGGUUUUGAUUUGAAAGGCGCUUUCGGGUGUCGCUGAUGGAUGGACCCGCGGUGCAUUAGCUAGUUGGUGAGGUAACGGCUCACCAAGGCCACGAUGCAUAGCCGACCUGAGAGGGUGAUCGGCCACAUUGGGACUGAGACACGGCCCAAACUCCUACGGGAGGCAGCAGUAGGGAAUCUUCGGCAAUGGACGAAAGUCUGACCGAGCAACGCCGCGUGAGUGAAGAAGGUUUUCGGAUCGUAAAACUCUGUUGUUAGAGAAGAACAAGGAUGAGAGUAACUGUUCAUCCCUUGACGGUAUCUAACCAGAAAGCCACGGCUAACUACGUGCCAGCAGCCGCGGUAAUACGUAGGUGGCAAGCGUUGUCCGGAUUUAUUGGGCGUAAAGCGAGCGCAGGCGGUUUCUUAAGUCUGAUGUGAAAGCCCCCGGCUCAACCGGGGAGGGUCAUUGGAAACUGGGAGACUUGAGUGCAGAAGAGGAGAGUGGAAUUCCAUGUGUAGCGGUGAAAUGCGUAGAUAUAUGGAGGAACACCAGUGGCGAAGGCGGCUCUCUGGUCUGUAACUGACGCUGAGGCUCGAAAGCGUGGGGAGCAAACAGGAUUAGAUACCCUGGUAGUCCACGCCGUAAACGAUGAGUGCUAA
rnacentral:rRNA from 1 species